rnacentral:tRNA from 1 species
GCCCCGUUGGCUCAGUGGUAAGCGUAUCACUAGUAAUGAUAAGAUCACUGGUUCGAUUCCAGUACGGGGCA